GGGGAAUUUUGGACAAUGGGCGCAAGCCUGAUCCAGCAAUGCCGCGUGCAGGACGAAGGCCUUCGGGUUGUAAACUGCUUUUGUACAGAACGAAAUGUCUCUGGCUAAUACCUGGGGAAGAUGACGGUACUGUAAGAAUAAGCACCGGCUAACUACGUGCCAGCAGCCGCGGUAAUACGUAGGGUGCAAGCGUUAAUCGGAAUUACUGGGCGUAAAGCGUGCGCAGGCGGUUUUGUAAGACAGAGGUGAAAUCCCCGGGCUCAACCUGGGAACUGCCUUUGUGACUGCAAGGCUGGAGUGCGGCAGAGGGGGAUGGAGUUCCGCGUGUAGCAGUGAAAUGCGUAGAUAUGCGGAGGAACACCGAUGGCGAAGGCAAUCCCCUGGGCCUGCACUGACGCUCAUGCACGAAAGCGUGGGGAGCAAAC
rnacentral:rRNA from 1 species